ACAAGGCGUGAUGAUUAUAACCCAUCAUUUCUGCAUUUGAAUGAUGAAUAUUUUCAUGCACUACCAUCUGAUCUUCG
rfam:Cucumis sativus cultivar 9930 chromosome 1, whole genome shotgun sequence.